CCGUUAGAGGAAUGAUGUAUUAUUACCGGGCUCUUAAGAUGCUUGCUUUCCUCGACUCUGCAGCGGAGGUGGACAUAAGG